GUGGGGAAUAUUGGGCAAUGGGCGCAAGCCUGACCCAGCAACGCCGCGUGAAGGAAGAAGGCUUUCGGGUUGUAAACUUCUUUUACCAGGGACGAAACAAAUGACGGUACCUGGUGAAUAAGCCACGGCUAACUACGUGCCAGCAGCCGCGGUAAUACGUAGGUGGCGAGCGUUAUCCGGAUUUAUUGGGUGUAAAGGGCGUGUAGGCGGGACAGCAAGUCAGAUGUGAAAACCAGAGGCUCAACCUCUGGCCUGCAUUUGAAACUGUUGUUCUUGAGUGUCGGAGAGGUAAUCGGAAUUCCGUGUGUAGCGGUGAAAUGCGUAGAUAUACGGAGGAACACCAGUGGCGAAGGCGGCCCCCUGGACUGACAUUGACGCUGAGGUGCGAAAGCGUGGGGAUCAAACAGGAUUAGAAACCCCAGUAGUCC
rnacentral:rRNA from 1 species